rnacentral:rRNA from 1 species
AGAGCGAACGCUGGCGGCAGGCUUAACACAUGCAAGUCGAGCGGGCGUAGCAAUACGUCAGCGGCAGACGGGUGAGUAACGCGUGGGAACGUACCUUUUGGUUCGGAACAACCCAGGGAAACUUGGGCUAAAUACCGGAUAAGCCCUUACGGGGAAAGAUUUAUCGCUGAAGGAUCGGCCCGCGUCUGAUUAGCUAGUUGGUGGGGUAACGGCUCACCAAGGCGACGAUCAGUAGCUGGUCUGAGAGGAUGAUCAGCCUCACUGGGACUGAGACACGGCCCAGACUCCUACGGGAGGCAGCAGUGGGGAAUAUUGGACAAUGGGCGCAAGCCUGAUCCAGCCAUGCCGCGUGGGUGAUGAAGGCCCUAGGGUUGUAAAGCCCUUUCGGCGGGGAAGAUAAUGACGGUACCCGCAGAAGAAGCCCCGGCUAACUUCGCGACCAGCAGCCGC